rnacentral:rRNA from 1 species
AACGAACGCUGGCGGCAUGCCUAACACAUGCAAGUCGAACGAGACCUUCGGGUCUAGUGGCGCACGGGUGCGUAACGCGUGGGAAUCUGCCCUUGGGUUCGGAAUAACAGUUGGAAACGACUGCUAAUACCGGAUGAUGACGUAAGUCCAAAGAUUUAUCGCCCAGGGAUGAGCCCGCGUAGGAUUAGCUAGUUGGUGGGGUAAGGGCCUACCAAGGCGACGAUCCUUAGCUGGUCUGAGAGGAUGAUCAGCCACACUGGGACUGAGACACGGCCCAGACUCCUACGGGAGGCAGCAGUGGGGAAUAUUGGACAAUGGGCGAAAGCCUGAUCCAGCAAUGCCGCGUGAGUGAUGAAGGCCUUAGGGUUGUAAAGCUCUUUUACCCGGGAUGAUAAUGACAGUACCGGGAGAAUAAGCCCCGGCUAACUCCGUG